AUGUCUUUCAGCGCGGCGAUGGCGGCCGGAUCGUUAACGGCACUGUGCCUACUGCUCGCCGCGGCGAAUGCGGCGGCCGAGGCCACGUCCUCUUACAUCGUGCACGUGGCGCCGGCGCACGCGCUGCCGGCGCCGCGCCGCGGGCUGCUCUCCGCCGGAGCGUACGGGUCGUUCCUGCGUGCCCACGUUCCAGCGGACGUGUCCAGCCCGGCGCCGACGGUGCACUACUCCUACGCGCACGCCGCCACCGGCUUCGCGGCGCGGCUCACGGGCCGCCAGGCCGCGCACCUCGCGUCCCAGCGGUCCGUGCUCGGCGUCGUGCCCAGCGUGGCGGAGCGGCCGCACACAACGCUCACGCCCUCCUUCCUCGGCCUCUCGCCGGCGGCUGGGCUGCUCCCGGCAUCCAACGGCGCCACCGACGUCGUCAUCGGCGUCCUCGACAGCGGCGUGUACCCCGUCGGCCGGGCGUCCUUCUCCGCCGACCCGUCGCUACCGCCGGUGCCGGGCAGGUUCCGGGGCGGCUGCGUCGCCACCCCGUCCUUCAACGCCUCCGCCUACUGCAACACCAAGCUGGUGGGCGCCAAGUUCUUCUACAGGGGGUACGAGCAGGAGACUGGCCGGCCGAUCGACGAGCGGGUCAUGUCCAAGUCGCCGCUCGACACCGACGGCCACGGCACGCACACCGCGUCCACCGCUGCCGGCUCUGCCGCCACGGGCGCCGGCUUCUUCGACUACGCAAGAGGGAACGCCGUCGGCGUCGCGCCGGGCGCGCGCAUAGCCGCCUACAAGGUGUGCUGGAAUAACACGUGCACGUCCGACGACAUCCUGGCGGGGUUUGAGGCGGCCAUCGCCGACGGGGUCGACGUCAUCUCCAUCUCGCUCGGGAGCACCAACGGUGCACAGCCGUUUCAUCUGGACACCACCGCCAUAGGCGCGUUCAGAGCCGUCCGCAAGGGCAUCGUCGUCUCCGCGUCCGCGGGGAACAAUGGCCCCAGGGAAACCACUGCCGUCAACAUUGCGCCAUGGUUUUUGACCGUCGCCGCGUCCACCGUCAACCGCCAGUUCCCGGUAGAUGUCCUUCUUGGGAACGGGCAGACCUUCACGGGCACGUCGCUCAACACGGGCACCCCGCUUGGCGCCACCAAACUGCCCUUGGUCUACGGCGGGUUCGUGGGCACACAAUUCUGUGAAGCCGGCAAGCUGAACGCCACCAUGGUCGCCGGAAAGAUCGUCUUGUGCGAGUCGAGCAACAAUGCCCGGACAGCGAAAGGAGAAGCCGUGAGGAUCGCCGGUGGUGUUGGAUUAAUCCUCGCGAGCUUCGAUUUGUACCGCGAGCAAGCCAUGACCGACGCACAUGUCCUCCCUGCAGCAUCUGUGACGUUUGUGGACGCCGUGAAGAUAGCCAACUACAUAGCCACGGAUGGAUCCCCUGCGGCGACGAUCGCGUCCGGCGGCACCGCCAUCGGCCGCAGCGCGCCUCCCUACCCUAGAAUGGCAUCCUUCUCAAGCCGUGGCCCGAGCCGCCACGCGCCGGAGAUCCUCAAGCCCGACAUCACCGCCCCUGGCGUGGACAUCCUGGCCGCCUGGACAGGGGCCAACUCGCCCUCCCACGUCAGCACCGACACGAGGCGAGUGGAGUACAACGUCAUCGCCGGCACCUCCAUGUCAUGCCCGCACGUGAGCGGCGUCGCCGCGCUGCUCCGGCAGGCGAGGCCCGAGUGGAGCCCCGCGGCGAUCAAGUCCGCCAUGAUGACCACCGCGUACAACGUCGACAGCGCCGGCGGCGUCAUCGGCGACAUGUCCACGGGGAAGGCCUCCACUCCUUUCGCCCGCGGGGCGGGCCACGUCGACCCCAACGGCGCCGCCGAUCCGGGCCUGGUGUACGACGCCGACGCCGAGGACUACAUCACCUUCCUCUGCGCCAUCGGGUACGACGCCAAGCAGGUCGCCCUCUUCACGGGGGACGGCUCGGUGACCGACUGCUCGACGCGCUCCGGCUCCGGCGUGGGGGACCUCAACUACCCGGCCUUCUCGGCGGUGUUCGGCCCCGGCAAACGCGCCGUCACGCAACGCCGCGUGGUGCGCAACGUGGGCGGCAACGUCUGGGCCACGUACAAGGUGAGGAUCACUGCCCCGGACGGCGUGCGCGUCACGGUAAGCCCCGGGACGCUGCGGUUCAGGCCGUGGAGGAAGACGCAGGAGUACAAGGUCACCUUGGAGCUGCAAGAGAACCUGCCGGAUAAGCACACAUUUGGAGCGAUUGAGUGGAGCGACGGCCAGCACAAGGUGAAGAGCCCCAUCGCCAUCACCUGGCCUCCCGCGACCGGCAAAAUCGCGCAACUAUGA
rnacentral:rRNA from 1 species